AAUAUCAGCCAUAUCACCCUGCAGCCCAAGACUGGUUGCCCAUCGAAGCUAAGCAGGGUUGAGCCUGGUCAGUACCUGGAUGGGAGACCUCCUGGGAAACCUAGGUCGCUGCUGGAA
rnacentral:rRNA from 1 species